UGGGGAAUAUUGCACAAUGGAGGGAACUCUGAUGCAGCGACGCCGCGUGAACGAAGAAGGCUUUCGAGUCGUAAAGUUCUUUUAUAUGGGAAGAUAAUGACGGUACCAUAAGAAAAAGCCCCGGCUAACUACGUGCCAGCAGCAGCGGUAAUACGUAGGGGGCUAGCGUUGUCCGGAAUCACUGGGCGUAAAGGGUUCGCAGGCGGAAAUGCAAGUCAGGUGUAAAAGGCAGUAGCUUAACUACUGUAAGCAUUUGAAACUGCAUAUCUUGAGAAGAGUAGAGGUAAGUGGAAUUUUUAGUGUAGCGGUGAAAUGCGUAGAUAUUAAAAAGAAUACCGGUGGCGAAGGCGACUUACUGGGCUCAUUCUGACGCUGAGGAACGAAAGCGUGGGUAGCAAACAGG
rnacentral:rRNA from 1 species